GAUAAGUGGCUUAUGGCAGCCAAGCGUUCAUAGAGCUGUCACUGUUUGACCUAGCCGUCUGCUCUUCCUUUCAAUGUGCAGCAGAAUUUGUCAACCACUGGAUUGUGUGUCUAGUGACAGGGAAUGUGAGCUGGGUUUAGACCAUGGUGAGACAGGAC
rnacentral:rRNA from 1 species